UCAAUGGACCAACGAAUUUAGUCCUGAAAUUAUGUUGAGGAUACCCAAAGUGAAUUUGGAUAAGAAAAUAAAGUUAAGCUACCACUUCUGCUGCCGAUAGAUGAUGGAGAAGUAUUGGUAGUAAAGCAGGAAGGGUAGAAUCACACCUGAUCACUAACUCUGGAAUGUAUAUUUUUUGUACUAGUAGCCAGUUGAGGAGAUUCCAUCUCGAAGUAACCUUUAACCGACACAGUCUUGGUUCCGAUCUUGAUGACCUGUUUAGUCCAAAACGGACGAUAUAAGAACGCACCCUUUGCGGCGCACACCGCUAUGAUUCCUAGUAAAAGAACAACAUAAGUACAUUCAUUGACAAAAUUACUAAGGCUUCUUGAAAACAAAA